GACGAACGCUGGCGGCGGGCUUAACACAUGCAAGUCGAACGGAAAGGCCCUGCUGUUGUGGGGUGCUCGAGUGGCGAACGGGUGAGUAACACGGGAGUAACUUGCCCUCGUUUUCGGUACAAUUUCAGGAAACUCCGGCUAAUACCCUAAUGCCGCACCUGCUUCAUGGUGGGCGUCGGAAAGUAUGGGCGGUUGGGGAUGGACUGGCGGGUGAUCCGUUUGUUGGUGGGGUUGUCGCUGAACAAGGCUUCGACGGGUAGCCGGCCUGAGAGGGUUACCGGGCCAAUGGGGACUGAGAUACGGGCCAGACUACUGCGGGAGACAGCAGUAUGGACUAAUGCACAAUGGGCGGAAGCAUGGUGCAGCAACGCCGCGUGAGGGAUGACGACCUGCGGGUUUUAGACCGCUUACGCCUGUGACGAAGCGUAAGUGACGGUAAUAGAUAAAGAAGCACCGGCUAACUACGUG
rnacentral:rRNA from 1 species